UGGGGAAUAUUGGACAAUGGGGGAAACCCUGAUCCAGCAAUGCCGCGUGAGUGAAGAAGGCCUUAGGGUUGUAAAGCUCUUUCGGCGGGGACGAUGAUGACGGUACCCGCAGAAGAAGCCCCGGCUAACUUCGUGCCAGCAGCCGCGGUAAUACGAAGGGGGCUAGCGUUGUUCGGAAUCACUGGGCGUAAAGGGCGCGUAGGCGGCUUGACAAGUCAGGUGUGAAAGCCCCGGGCUCAACCCGGGAAUUGCACUUGAUACUGUCUCGCUUGAGUCCGGGAGAGGAUGGCGGAAUUCCCAGUGUAGAGGUGAAAUUCGUAGAUAUUGGGAAGAACACCGGUGGCGAAGGCGGCCAUCUGGACCGGUACUGACGCUGAGGCGCGAAAGCGUGGGGAGCAAACAGGAUUAGAUACCCUGGUAGUCCACGCCGUAAACGAUGAGUGCUAGACGUCGGGGGGUUCACCUCCGGUGUCGCAGCUAACGCCUUAAGCACUCCGCCUGGGGAGUACGGUCGCAAG
rnacentral:rRNA from 1 species